GAUUGUAAACCAACUAUUGCAUCGAAAAUAGAAAGAAACCAGACUGCGACGGACUCCUCUUUCCAAAUGAAUGUAAGACGCCCUUAUGUUCCUGCUGUGUAAAAGUAACUACUGUGAAACUGGAUGAAUGCGCAGCAGGGAACGACACCUGCCCCGCCAACUCAGAAUGCCAGGAUAAAGAAAUAGGCUACGAAUGCGCUUGCAAUGCAGGCUUUGAGCAAUGUGGAGAUGCAAAUGAAUGUGACAGCGAUCCCUGUGGGCCAAACUCCCAGUGCCAAAAUACACAUGGAAGUUACGAAUGCGUCUGCAACGCUGGGUACGAAGCAGUCAACGGAAACU